GGGGCAACUUGCGGAGUUCCGCUCCUACGAGGGGCAGGAAAUGCAGAUCAAGGAGAAGAUUGUGCCUCUCAAGAUUGACCUCCGAGUGAACAACACUGUAAUAAGAGACAAGUUCUUUUGGGAUAUUGGCAACCUUGAUAGUGACCCUGAGGAAUUUGCGAGGACGCUAUGUGACGAUUUGAACAUCGCAGAUCCUGAAGUUGGGCUUGUUUUGGUCCAAUUGUUGAUUUGACGAGUACUCUACAUGUUAUUCUUCAUUUAAGGUACUUCUGAACGAUGUUCUUGUUGUGAACUUUUAUUUCCGUGCAAUAUAUGACUAUAGUUUAUAAAUACAUCGCCACACCUA